rnacentral:rRNA from 1 species
GAUGAACGCUGGCGGCGCGCCUAACACAUGCAAGUCGAACGAUUAAAGCACCCUCGGGUGUGUAUAAAGUGGCGAACGGCUGAGUAACACGUGGGCAACCUGCCCCUCUCAUUGGGAUAGCCACGGGAAACCGUGGAUAAUACCGAAUACUUCGGGACUUCCGCAUGGAAGACUCGAGAAAGCUCCGGCGGAGAGGGAUGGGCCCGCGGCCUGUUAGCUUGUUGGUGGGGUAAUGGCCUACCAAGGCAAUGAUGGGUAGCUGGGUUGAGAGACCGACCAGCCAGAUUGGGACUGAGACACGGCCCAGACUCCUACGGGAGGCAGCAGUGGGGAAUCUUGCACAAUGGGCGAAAGCCUGAUGCAGCGACGCCGCGUGCGGGAUGAAGGCCUUCGGGUUGUAAACCGCUUUCAGCAGGGACGAGGCGAAAGUGACGGUACCUGCAGAAGAAGCCCCGGCUAACUACGUG